rnacentral:rRNA from 1 species
UACAGGGGGGGCAAGCGUUGUUCGGAAUUACUGGGCGUAAAGGGCUCGUAGGCGGCCAACUAAGUCCGACGUGAAAUCCCAAAGCUUAACUUUGGAACUGCGUCGGAUACUGGAUGGCUUGAAUUCGGGAGAGGGAUGCAGAAUUCCAGGUGUAGCGGUGAAAUGCGUAGAUAUCUGGAGGAAUACCGGUGGCGAAGGCGGCAUCCUGGACCGACAUUGACGCUGAGGAGCGAAAGCUAGGGGAGCAAGCGGG